rnacentral:rRNA from 1 species
AUCAGCCAUGCCGCGUGUGUGAAGAAGGCCUUUUGGUUGUAAAGCACUUUAAGCGAGGAGGAGGCUACCUAGAUUAAUACUCUGGGAUAGUGGACGUUACUCGCAAAAUAAGCACCGGCUAACUCUGUGCCAGCAGCCGCGGUAAUACAGAGGGUGCGAGCGUUAAUCGGAUUUACUGGGCGUAAAGCGUGCGUAGGCGGCUGAUUAAGUCGGAUGUGAAAUCCCUGAGCUUAACUUAGGAAUUGCAUUCGAUACUGGUCAGCUAGAGUAUGGGAGAGGAUGGUAGAAUUCCAGGUGUAGCGGUGAAAUGCGUAGAGAUCUGGAGGAAUACCGAUGGCGAAGGCAGCCAUCUGGCCUAAUACUGACGCUGAGGUACGAAAGCAUGGGGAGCAAACAGGAUUAGAUACCCUGGUAGUCCAUGCCGUAAACGAUGUCUACUAGCCGUUGGGGUCUUUGAGGCUUUAGUGGCGCAGCUAACGCGAUAAGUACACCGCCUGGGGAGUACGGUCGCAAGACUAAAACUCAAAUGAAUUGACGGA